GACGAACGCUGGCGGCGUGCUUAACACAUGCAAGUCGAACGGAAAGGCCCUGCUUUUGUGGGGUGCUCGAGUGGCGAACGGGUGAGUAACACGUGAGUAACCUGCCCUUGACUUUGGGAUAACUUCAGGAAACUGGGGCUAAUACCGGAUAGGAGCUCCUGCUGCAUGGUGGGGGUUGGAAAGUUUCGGCGGUUGGGGAUGGACUCGCGGCUUAUCAGCUUGUUGGUGGGGUAGUGGCUUACCAAGGCUUUGACGGGUAGCCGGCCUGAGAGGGUGACCGGCCACAUUGGGACUGAGAUACGGCCCAGACUCCUACGGGAGGCAGCAGUGGGGAAUAUUGCACAAUGGGCGGAAGCCUGAUGCAGCAACGCCGCGUGCGGGAUGACGGCCUUCGGGUUGUAAACCGCUUUCGCCUGUGACGAAGCGUGAGUGACGGUAAUGGGUAAAGAAGCACCGGCUAACUACGUGCCAGCAGCCGCGGUGAUACGUAGGGUGCGAGCGUUGUCCGGAUUUAUUGGGCGUAAAGGGCUCGUAGGUGGUUGAUCGCGUCGGAAGUGUAAUCUUGGGGCUUAACCCUGAGCGUGCUUUCGAUACGGGUUGACUUGAGGAAGGUAGGGGAGAAUGGAAUCCCUGGUGGAGCGGUGGAAUGCGCAGAUAUCAGGAGGAACACCAGUGGCGAAGGCGGUUCUCUGGGCCUUUCCUGACGCUGAGGAGCGAAAGCGUGGGGAGCGAACAGGCUUAGAUACCCUGGUAGUCCACGCUGUAAACGGUGGGUACUAGGUGUGGGGUCCAUUCCACGGGUUCCGUGCCGUAGCUAACGCUUUAAGUACCCCGCCUGGGGAGUACGGCCGCAAGGCUAAAACUCAAAGGAAUUGACGGGGCCCCGCACAAGCGGCGGAGCAUGCGGAUUAAUUCGAUGCAACGCGUAGAACCUUACCUGGGUUUGACAUGGAUCGGGAGUGCUCAGAGAUGGGUGUGCCUCUUUUGGGGUCGGUUCACAGGUGGUGCAUGCCUGUCGUCAGCUCGUGUCGUGAGAUGUUGGGUUAAGUCCCGCAACGAGCGCAACCCUUGUUCACUGUUGCCAGCACGUUAUGGUGGGGACUCAGUGGAGACCGCCGGGGUCAACUCGGAGGAAGGUGGGGAUGACGUCAAGUCCUCAUGCCCCUUAUGUCCAGGGCUUCACGCAUGCUACAAUGGCUGGUACAGAGAGUGGCGAGCCUGUGAGGGUGAGCGAAUCUCGGAAAGCCGGUCUCAGUUCGGAUUGGGGUCUGCAACUCGACCUCAUGAAGUCGGAGUCGCUAGUAAUCGCAGAUCAGCAACGCUGCGGUGAAUACGUUCCCGGGGCU
rnacentral:rRNA from 1 species